GUUAUAUGGUCAAGUGAAGAAGCGCAUACGGUGGAUGCCUUGGCAGUCAGAGGCGAUGAAAGACGUGGUAGCCUGCGAAAAGCUUUGGGGAGUCGGCAAACAGACUGUGAUCCAGAGAUCUCUGAAUGGGGGAACCCAGCCAGCAUAAGCUGGUUAUCUUGUACUGAAUACAUAGGUGCAAGAGGCGAACCAGGGGAACUGAAACAUCUAAGUACCCUGAGGAAAAGAAAUCAACCGAGAUUCCCUUAGUAGUGGCGAGCGAACGGGGACCAGCCCUUAAGUUGGUUUGAGAUUAGUGGAACGCUCUGGAAAGUGCGGCCAUAGUGGGUGAUAGCCCUGUACACGAAAAUCUCUUAUCAAUGAAAUCGAG
rnacentral:rRNA from 1 species